rnacentral:lncRNA from 1 species
CUGGGAGCUCCUUAGGGGCCGGGCACCGACAGAGGGAGUUCUGGGAUCAUGUCUAAUCCGAGAUGUGAUAUGUUUGUGCUGUGACACAUUUCAUGAGAGCAUGUAAUGCGUGAAUGAACUGUUUAUAUGGUUUCUACUCACUGGGCUCUAGUAGCUCAUCCCUUUCCCUUCCCCAGUUUUGCAAGGCCAGUCUUAGCUAUGGGUGACUAGAGUCCAUCAGAGUUAGCUAUGGGAAGUCCAAGAUGGCAGAGUCAUGUUGUGGCUAGUGUUUUGUAUGUAAUCAUAUAGCUUAGAGUUGUUUGAGUGGCAUGUAUAUAUUAUGCAAGAUUGGUGUAAAGUUUAAGUGAUGUUAUGCUAUGCUUAGCUGCUUGUAUAGUACAGUUGUGGACAUGAUAGAAGGACAUGAGGUGUAUAAAGGUUAUGAAUGGAGAGAAUGUGUAGUAAAGUGAUAGAGUAAAGUUAAGAAAAGGAUAUAAGAUACAUUGUAGAGUUGUGCUUUGCCUAGUGUUGGUUAGUCCCUUGUUGUUGCACAUGAUCACAAGGUUGUAAGCUAAAUGUUUUCCUUUUGUAUGAAAUGUUUUCAAGAUGUUUUCAUGGGAACCAAGCUUAAUGAAUGAGAUGUUACUCCAUUGGAGCAGCCCUUAUGGACUCUAGAGUGGGGUUAAGUUACGAGUAAGUGCAUGCAUGAGGUAAGCUUGGUUAAGAGAAAAGAAAAGUUUUCAGUCAGAUCUUGUUCAGGUUAAGCCUGAACAGUAAUAGGGUGAUCAUGUAUGGGAUUCUACCAGAUGUUUAGAGAGUUCAGUUAGGCUUGCUACGGGUCCCGGCGGCCUUAAGCCGAUCUGGAUCCUAGCGCCGAGCAGUUUGGAGCCGUUACAGAGGGGUAUCGGUAUCCGGGCUGUUACA